CAGCAGCCGCGGUAAUACGGAGGGUGCAAGCGUUACUCGGAAUCACUGGGCGUAAAGCGCGCGCAGGCGGCUAUUUAAGUUGGAUGUGAAAGCCUACGGCUCAACCGUAGAACUGCAUCCAAAACUAUUUAGCUAGAGUGUGGGAGAGGAAGAUGGAAUUAGUUGUGUAGGGGUAAAAUCCGUAGAGAUAACUAGGAAUACCAAAAGCGAAGGCAAUCUUCUGGAACACUACUGACGCUGAGGCGCGAAAGCGUGGGGGGCAAACAGGAUUAGAUACCCUGGUAGUCCACGCAGUAAACGAUGAAUGUUAGUCGUCGGGUAGCUAGUCUAUUCGGUGAUGCAGCUAACGCAUUAAACAUUCCGCCUGGGGAGUACGGUCGCAAGAUUAAAACUCAAAGGAAUAGACGGGGACCCGCACAAGUGGUGGAGCAUGUGGUUUAAUUCGAAGAUACGCGAAGAACCUUACCUGGCCUUGACAUAUAUUAGAACACCCUAGAGAUAGAGUGGUGCCUUCGGGAGCUUUUAUACAGGUGCUGCACGGCUGUCGUCAGCUCGUGUCGUGAGAUGUUGGGUUAAGUCCCGCAACGAGCGCAACCCUCGUCACUAGUUACUAACGGUUCGGCCGAGGACUCUAGUGAGACUGCCUUCGCAAGGAGGAGGAAGGUGAGGACGACGUCAAGUCAUCAUGGCCCUUACGGCUAGGGCAACACACGUGCUACAAUGGUUAGGACAAUGAGACGCAAUACCGCGAGGUGGAGCAAAUC
rnacentral:rRNA from 1 species